rnacentral:rRNA from 1 species
UACAGAGGUCACGAGCGUUGUUCGGAUUUAUUGGGCGUACAGGGUGCGUAGGCGGCGGAGUAAGUUGGGUGUGAAAUCCCGGGGCUCAACCUCGGAAUUGCAUUCAAUACUGCUUCGCUCGAGUACUGGAGAGGAGGCUGGAAUUUACGGUGUAGCAGUGAAAUGCGUAGAGAUCGUAAGGAAGACCAGUGGCGAAGGCGGGUCUCUGGAAAGUUCCUGACACUGAGGCACGAAGGCCAGGGGAGCAAACGGG